rnacentral:rRNA from 1 species
UACGUAGGGUGCGAGCGUUGUCCGGAAUUAUUGGGCGUAAAGAGCUCGUAGGCGGCGUGUCACGUCGGAUGUGAAAGCCCAUGGCUUAACUGUGGGUCUGCAUUCGAUACGGGCAGGCUGGAGUUCGGUAGGGGAGAUCGGAAUUCCUGGUGUAGCGGUGGAAUGCGCAGAUAUCAGGAGGAACACCGGUGGCGAAGGCGGAUCUCUGGGCCUUACCUGACGCUCAGGCGCGAAAGCUAGGGGAGCGAACAGGAUUAGAACCGUA